UUUUCGAGAAUUCACACAUCGUCCUGCAGAGACGAAGAAGAGCCUCUCGAACAGCCUACAGCAUGAACGCUGCGUUUUUGGUGCUCCUUGUGGUCGCUCUGGCCGUUGCCGUGGUCACUGCGGCUCCUCAGUACCUUGUGAGCGGGUACUACGGCUACCCGUACGCUCCGAGCUUGGGCUACUACUACCAUUCCUACUAUCCAUACUACCACUAUCUCGGACGUUGAGUCACACAGACACUGCCGGACGCCGCUGAACUUGACAAUGCGACCUGGAAACGGAGCACACCCAAUUACAGAAAUGGAGGACCAUCUAGGUCUGACGCAAUGAUGUAAAACCGAAGGAUGUUAAGAUGCAGAGAUGCGUUCACAGUAUCAAAUAAAAUUCAACGAAUGGAAUGUGCUUCCAAA